GAUGAACGCUAGCGGCAGGCCUAACACAUGCAAGUCGAGGGAGAGGUUAUCUUCGGGUAACCAAAACCGGCGCACGGGUGCGUAACGCGUAUACAAUCUGCCUUUCACAUAGGGAUAGCCCGAAGAAAUUUGGAUUAAUACCUAAUGGUAUAUAGGAGCGGCAUCGUUUUUAUAUUAAAGCUACGGUGGUGAAAGAUGAGUAUGCGUUCUAUUAGCUAGUUGGAGAGGUAACGGCUCCCCAAGGCGACGAUAGAUAGGGGUUCUGAGAGGGAUGUCCCCCACACUGGUACUGAGAUACGGACCAGACUCCUACGGGAGGCAGCAGUGAGGAAUAUUGGACAAUGGUCGGAAGACUGAUCCAGCCAUGCCGCGUGCAGGAUGAAGGUCCUAUGGAUUGUAAACUGCUUUUUGUAAGGGAAGAAUAAGGAGUACGUGUACUUUGAUGACGGUACCUUUACGAAUAAGCAUCGGCUAACUCCGUGCCAGCAGCCGCGGUAAUACGGAGGAUGCGAGCGUUAUCCGAAAUCAUUGGGUUUAAAAGGGUCCGUAGGCGGCCUGAUAAGUCAGAGGUGAAAGCGCUUAGCUCCAACUAAGCAACUGCCUUUGAAACUGUAGUCUUGAAUGAUUGUUAAGUAGUUGGAAUGGGAGGUGGAGCGGUGAAUGCUUAUAUUUUAUGCGGACACCAUAGCCGCAGCAUAUUAUUUAUUAUUAAUGACGCAGAGGGGGAGGGGAGAUGAGCUAAUAGGAUAAAAUGUAUGUGAGUCAGGGGUAGUGUUCAUUUUUGGUGGCUUCUGGCGCAGCCCCCGCUCCGGGUGACAUGAUGCGAUCUUUUGUUGGUGCUACAAUGAAAUAGAAAAAAAAA
rnacentral:rRNA from 1 species